AUCGGGAUUGAAGUUUGCCACAUGUCAGCAAGGUGGUUAAUAACAGACAGGCCUACAGUGCCCAUGUGGAGGCUGGACAAUAUUUAACUCAGGCCAGAAUUUCUCAACCAAGGGUCAGAGUCUCCAGGAGAUUCUGAAGGAAUGCAUGUCUUUUUAUUUACCUCUCAUUUCCUUCUUUUUCAGUUUUGAUUGUGAAAAAACACACAUACCCCAAGACUUAGCAUCUUAGCCAUUUUUCAGCGAACAGUGAAGUGACACUCCCUGAGCCUAGCCUGAUCCACACCGCGAGCGCUUCUCAGUCCUGCCUAUAAACCGGAGUCAUCUGGAGAAAUUAGCAAAAACAAAGCCGAGGCCAGGGCCCUGUCCCAGACACACUGGAUCAAGAUCCCUGAAGAAGGCACCCAGUGGGGUUACUGAACAAGUCUACGUGCCGUACGCGCUCCCGUCAUCUCAAGCCUCACGACAACCCCGAGACAAGCAUGCGGCUUAUCUCCAUCUUACAGAUGAGUGAGACCUGUUCAAAAACUGCAAAUAUUGGCAGUGGUUUUUCAUGGCGUGUAUCGCACUGAAAAAAUGGUUUAUUGUCUGCCUUGCCCACAAGACCAUAAAAGAAUGAUGUCUGUUUCAUUCACGGAGAAUGCCUGGAAAACACUUGGCCAGUGCUUUACUAUUUCUCAACAAACAGGGUUUUUAUUAAAGGAGAAAAGAGCAC